rnacentral:rRNA from 1 species
GAUGAACGCUGGCGGCGUGCCUUAUACAUGCAAGUCGAGCGAACACACGAGUGCCUUGCUCCUCUGACGUUAGCCGCGGACGGGUGAGUAACACGUGGACAACCUACCUAUAGGACUGGAAUAACUUCGAAACCGGGUAGCUAAUACCUGAGAAUCUAUUAAACCACAGGGUUAAAUACUGAAAUCGCGCUUUGCUGUCAGUUGUAGAUGGAUCCGCGCCUAAUUAGCUAAUUGGUCAGGUAACGGCUUACCAAGUAAACGAUGCGUAGCCGACCUGAGAGGGUGAUCGGCCACACUGGAACUGAGACACGGUCCAGACUCCUACGGGAGGCAGCAGUAGGGAAUCUUCCACAAUGGGCGAAAGCCUGAUCGAGCAACGCCGCGUGAGUGAUGAAGGUCUUCGGAUCGUAAAACUCUGUUAUUAGGGAAGAACAAAUUUGCACGAAAAUAGGCAGGUGUUGACGGUACCUAAUGAGAAAGCAACGGCUAACUACGUG